UGCAGCAGGAGAGGAUAUGCUCAAACAAUGGAUGACAUGGUAAAAAUUUAAUAAAUAUUUUUGGUAGCUAAACAUAAGAAAAUAUAUGUUCUCUUUCUGAAAAAUGUACUUGGAUACAGAGUAGGGAAAGCUCAAAACCUGUAACAAGAGUUCAAGCUUUCUUAAAGACACACACAAAGAAGAAUGGUGAACCUGUGAAUGCACAAGCUGCUGAAGUUAUUGAGAAGCUACAAGUUCUUGCAAAUGAAAAACCAGAUUCAUGCACAACACAGAAUACUGUACAAGAUGCUCUCACUAUCAUAUUUGGUCCUGACAAGAAUGGUAGAUCAUUAGCUAAUGGGAGGGGAGUAACUAAUACAAAGUUAGCUAUUCUAAGAGCAAGAGAUGACCAUAUUUCACAAUUGGAAUCAAGUCAAUGUGAGAUGAAGAAUAAAAUGUCUGAGAUGAUGAAUCUUAUUAAUACUAUUGCAAAAAGUGUAAACAUUCAGGGGUUUACUCAACCAAGUGAAGCGGAGUCACACAUGCCUUCUCCUAUGAGUGUUAAUAAUCUGAAGUUCACUCCUGAAAACAAUGCUUGCAAUUUACUUGAUUGGAAUGGAAGUGGAGAAAUUGUUG